GACGAGUGGUCCUAGCGUUAGUCGGAAUCACUGGGCUUAAAGGGUGCGUAGGCGGGCCAGUAAGUGUCUUGUGAAAGCCCCCGGCUCAACCGGGGAACCGCAGGGCAUACUGCUGGUCUUGAGGAAGCUAGAGGCCGGUGGAACGAUAGGUGGAGCGGUGGAAUGCGUAGAGAUCUAUCGGAACGCCGAUGGUGAAGACAGCCGGCUGGGGCUUUCCUGACGCUGAGGCACGAAAGCGUGGGGAGCAAACAGG
rnacentral:rRNA from 1 species